rnacentral:rRNA from 1 species
GACGAACGCUGGCGGCGUGCCUAAUACAUGCAAGUAGGACGCAGAUGCGAACGAGUGAGUAACGCGUCGGUAACUGCCUAUUAGAGGGGGAUAACUAUUGGAAACGAUAGCUACUACCGCAUACUCGUAGAUGGACCUGCGUUGUAUUAGCUAGUAUGUAGGGUAAUGGCCUUCCUAGGCGAACAUACAUAGCCGCCCUGAGGGGGUGAGCGACCACAAGGGGACAGAGUCACUGCUCAGACUCCUGCGGGAGGCAGCAGUAGGGAAACUUCGGCAAUGGGGGGAACCCGUACCGAGUAUCGCCCAAUACGGGAAAAAGGUUUUCGGAUCGUAAAGCUCUGUUGUUAAGGAAGCGGUACUUAACCAGAAAGUGACGGCUAACUACGUGCCAGCAGCCGCGGUAAUUC